UACGUAGGGGGCAAGCGUUGUCCGGAUUUAUUGGGCGUAAAGAGCGUGUAGGCGGUUUGGUAGGUCCGCUGUGAAAACUCGAGGCUCAACCUCGAGACGCCGGUGGAAACCAUCAGGCUAGAGUCCGGAAGAGGAGAGUGGAAUUCCUGGUGUAGCGGUGAAAUGCGCAGAUAUCAGGAGGAACACCCGUGGCGAAAGCGGCUCUCUGGGACGGUACUGACGCUGAGACGCGAAAGCGUGGGGAGCAAACAGG
rnacentral:rRNA from 1 species